rnacentral:rRNA from 1 species
AAGGAAUUACUCCUUGAAACAGAAGAUCAAGACAGCCUCCCUGAAACUUUCUUGAUGGAGGGGAACGGCAAACGGGUGAGUAACGCGUGGGAAUCUACCCUUUUCUACGGAAUAACCCAGGGAAACUUGUGAUAAUACCGUAUGUGUCCUUCGGGAGAAAGAUUUAUCGGGCCAGGAUGAGCCCGCGUUGGAUUACCUAGUUGGUGGGGUAAAGGCCUACCACCGCGACGAUCCAUACCUGGUCUGAGAGGAUGAUCAGCCACAUUGCGACUGAGACCCGGCCCAAACUCCUACGGGAGGCACUAGUGGGGAAUAUUGGACAAUGGGCGCAAGCCUGAUCCAGCCAUGCCGCGUGAGUGAUGAAGGACCUAGGGUUGUAAAGCUCUUUCACCGGAGAAGAUAAUGACGGUAUCCGGAGAACAAGCCCCCGCUAAUUUCGUGCCUGCAAUCGCGGUCAUACGAAGGGGGCUAGCGUUGUUCGGAAUUACUGGGUGUAAUGCGCUCGUAGGUCGAUCCAUCACUCAUGGGUGAAAUCCCACGGCUCAACCCUGGAAAUGACUUUGAUACCGUCCAUCUGGAGUAUAGAAGAUGUGAGUGGAACUCCGAGAGUGAAGGUGAAACUCGCAGAUAUUCUGAGGAACACAUGUGGGGAAGGGGGCUCCAGGGUCUCUUACUCCAGCUGAGGCGCGAAAAUUUGGGGAGUAAACA